UGGGGAGUGACGUCAAAUCAUCAUGCCCCUUAUGACCUGGGCUACACACGUGCUACAAUGGUUGGUACAACGAGUUGCGAGUCGGUGACGGCGAGCUAAUCUCUUAAAGCCAAUCUCAGUUCGGAUUGUAGGCUGCAACUCGCCUACAUGAAGUCGGAAUCGCUAGUAAUCGCGGAUCAGCACGCCGCGGUGAAUACGUUCCCGGGCCUU
rnacentral:rRNA from 1 species